rnacentral:rRNA from 1 species
CCUACGGGCGGCAGCAGUGGGGAAUCUUGCGCAAUGGGCGAAAGCGUGAUGCAGCGACGCCGCGUGAGUGACGAAGGCCUUCGGUUCGUAAAGCUCUUUCGACAGGGAAGAAAAUGCCUGUACGUAACUGUGUAUGUAUUGACGGUACCUGUCUAGGAAGCCCCGGCUGACGCCGUGCCAGCAGCCGCGGUAAGUCGGAGGGGGCGAGCGUUGUUGGGUGGGACUGGGCGUAAGGGGAGCGUAGGCGGGGUGGUAAGUCAGAAGUCAAAGAUUGGGGCUCAACUGGAGUAAUGCUUUGGAAACUAUAAGACUAGAGUGGCAGAGAGGUAAGCAGAAUUCCUGGUGUAGCGGUGAAAUGCGUAGAUAUCAGGAGGAACACCAUUAGCGAAGGCGGCUAUCUGGCCAGAAACUGACGCUGAGGUGCGAAAGCGUGGGUAGCAAACAGGAUUAGAUACCCGUGUAGUC